CGUUGAAACACCAUUUCCCGUAUGACCACAGAGGUUAAGCAGGAUCGAAGCUGGUCAGUACCUAGGUGGGUGGUCGCUUGGGAAUUCCGGGUGCUGUAG